AUUGAACGCUAGCGGCAGGCCUAACACAUGCAAGUCGAACGAGUGGCGGACGGGUGAGUAAUGUCUGGGAAACUGCCUGAUGGAGGGGGAUAACUACUGGAAACGAUAGCUAAUACCGCAUACCAUCAGAUCUGCCCAGAUGGGAUUAGCUAGUUGGUGGGGUAACGGCUCACCAAGGCGACGAUCCCUAGCUGGUCUGAGAGGGCGACCAGCCACACUGGAACUGAGACACGGUCCAGAGUCCUACGGGAGGCAGCAGUGGGGAAUAUUGGAAAAUGGGCGCAAGCCUGAUGCAGCCAUGCCGCGUGUAUGAAGAGGGCCUUCGGGUUGUAAAGUACUUUCAGCGGGGAGGCGUUACCCGCAGAAGAAGCACCGGCUAACUCCGUGCCAGCAGCCGCGGUAAUUC
rnacentral:rRNA from 1 species